rnacentral:rRNA from 1 species
UACGUAGGGGGCAAGCGUUGUCCGGAUUUAUUGGGCGUAAAGCGCUCGCAGGUGGUUCGUCGCGUCGUGCGUGAAAGACCCCGGCUCAACUGGGGGAGGUCGUGCGAUACGGGCGAACUGGAGGCCAGUAGGGGGAUGCGGAAUUCCGGGUGUAGUGGUGGAAUGCGUAGAGAUCCGGAGGAACACCAGCGGCGAAGGCGGCAUCCUGGACUGGUCCUGACACUCAUGAGCGAAAGCGUGGGGAGCGAACAGG